AUGUCAAACAGAGCCACACAUUGGUGUUAUGCGUGCCGUCGACCAAUUUGUCUUCGUGGAAAAGAUAUAAUCUGUCCCAACUGCAAUGAUGGGUUCGUACAAGAGAUCAGUGAGAGAGGAGGUGCUUUGAACAACUACGGUAUGUUUGGGCCACGCUUCGAUGAUCACCUAGAUGGACAAUUUGGAAUGAUGGAUGUUAUGUUUGCCCUCAUGCCUCUGUUCGAGCAGCGGCUAUUGCAGACCGGCAACCGUCAAGGGCCAGUGCCAGCUCCACAGUCUGCAAUCCACUCCAUGCCGGUGGUGAGGAUAACCCUUAGGCAUCUGAGCGAUGAUCCAGUCUGCUCACUCUGGACGGACAGAUCUGAAGUCGGCUUGUCGGCGAGGGAGAUGCCGUGCAAGCACCUUUACCAUGCCAGCUGCAUCAUCCCUAGUUGA
rnacentral:rRNA from 1 species